ACCACGGUUAAUAUGAUGAGCUGAGCCUGC
rnacentral:piRNA from 1 species